rnacentral:pre_miRNA from 1 species
UAAAGAUUUAUUCCAUGCUAGAAUUCCAUCUUCUUUUCAGCAUGUUAUAAACCUUUACU